rnacentral:sRNA from 2 species
GCCGAUGUCAUUGGGGAGUAGCCAUCCUCGUUCCCCCUGAGGAGUUCGCGUCAACAGACUUGGCGGUCGUUUUCGACCCCAUGGCGCGAACGGUAGCGGCGCAUGGAGAGUGCGCUGUCGGCCCGGCGAGACCUUUGGCCAUCGACAUGCUCACCCGGCCGGGCGAGCGGUGUCGUUGUGCCAUCGGUUUCUUUCGCUCGCC